GAUGAACGCUGGCGGCGUGCCUAAUACAUGCAAGUCGAGCGAACGGACGAGAAGCUUGCUUCUCUGAAGUUAGCGGCGGACGGGUGAGUAACACGUGGAUAACCUACCUAUAAGACUGGGAUAACUUCGGGAAACCGGAGCUAAUACCGGAUGAUAUUUUGAACCGCAUGGUUCAAAAGUGAAAGACGGUCUUGCUGUCACUUAUAGAUGGAUCCGCGCUGCAUUAGCUAGUUGGUAAGGUAACGGCUUACCAAGGCAACGAUGCAUAGCCGACCUGAGAGGAUGAUCGGCCACACUGGAACUGAGACACGGUCCAGACUCCUACGGGAGGCAGCAGUAGGGAAUCUUCCGCAAAGGGCGAAAGCCUGACGGAGCAACGCCGCGUGAGUGAUGAAGGUCUUCGGAUCGUAAAACUCUGUUAUUAGGGAAGAACAUAUGUGUAAGUAACUGUGCACAUCUUGACGGUACCUAAUCAGAAAGCCACGGCUAACUACGUG
rnacentral:rRNA from 1 species